GGGGAUAUGGCGACGGGUGAGUACACGUGGGCAAUCUGCCCUUCCUCUGGGACAAGCCCUGGAAACGGGGUCUAAUACCGGAUAACACCGGCUUCCGCAUGGGAGCUGGUUGAAAGCUCCGGCGGUGAAGGAUGAGCCCGCGGCCUAUCAGCUUGUUGGUGGGGUAAUGGCCUACCAAGGCGACGACGGGUAGCCGGCCUGAGAGGGCGACCGGCCACACUGGGACUGAGACACGGCCCAGACUCCUACGGGAGGCAGCAGUGGGGAAUAUUGCACAAUGGGCGAAAGCCUGAUGCAGCGACGCCGCGUGAGGGAUGACGGCCUUCGGGUUGUAAACCUCUUUCAGCAGGGAAGAAGCGAAAGUGACGGUACCUGCAGAAGAAGCGCCGGCUAACUACGUGCCAGCAGCCGCGGUAAUACGUAGGGCGCAAGCGUUGUCCGGAAUUAUUGGGCGUAAAGAGCUCGUAGGCGGCUUGUCACGUCGGGUGUGAAAGCCCGGGGCUUAACCCCGGGUCUGCAUCCGAUACGGGCAGGCUAGAGUGUGGUAGGGGAGAUCGGAAUUCCUGGUGUAGCGGUGAAAUGCGCAGAUAUCAGG
rnacentral:rRNA from 1 species